CUUGUACUCCCUCCGUCCGAAAAUACUUGUCCUAGAGAUGAAUGUAUCUAGACUUAUUUUAGUUAUAGAUACAUUCAUUAUUUAUUUUUAAGACAAGUAUUUCCGAACGGAGGGACUAUAUU
rnacentral:pre_miRNA from 1 species